rnacentral:rRNA from 1 species
UCGAGAAUCUUUCACAAUGGGGGCAACCCUGAUGGAGCGACGCCGCGUGGAGGAUAAGGUCUUCGGAUUGUAAACUCCUGUCAUGCGUGAACAAGGCUGCAGGGUUAAUAACCUUGCAGAUUGAUGGUAGCGCAAGAGGAAGAGACGGCUAACUCUGUGCCAGCAGCCGCGGUAAUACAGAGGUCUCAAGCGUUGUUCGGAAUCACUGGGCGUAAAGGGUGCGUAGGUGGCGUGGUAAGUCAGAUGUGAAAGCCCGGGGCUCAACCUCGGAAUUGCAUCCGAUACUGCCAUGCUAGAGUACUGAAGAGGUGACUAGAAUUCUCGGUGUAGCAGUGAAAUGCGUAGAUAUCGAGAGGAAUACCAACGGCGAAGGCAGGUCACUGGGCAGUUACUGACACUGAGGCACGAAGGCCAGGGGAGCAAACG